AUGAACGCUAGCGACAGGCUUAACACAUGCAAGUCGAGGGGCAGCACAGGUAGCAAUACCGGGUGGCGACCGGCGCACGGGUGAGUAACGCGUAUGCAACUUGCCUAUCAGAGGGGGAUAACCCGGCGAAAGUCGGACUAAUACCGCAUGAAGCAGGGGCCCCGCAUGGGGAUAUUUGCUAAAGAUUCAUCGCUGAUAGAUAGGCAUGCGUUCCAUUAGGCAGUUGGCGGGGUAACGGCCCACCAAACCGACGAUGGAUAGGGGUUCUGAGAGGAAGGUCCCCCACAUUGGUACUGAGACACGGACCAAACUCCUACGGGAGGCAGCAGUGAGGAAUAUUGGUCAAUGGCCGAGAGGCUGAACCAGCCAAGUCGCGUGAGGGAUGAAGGUUCUAUGGAUCGUAAACCUCUUUUAUAAGGGAAUAAAGUGCGGGACGUGUCCCGUUUUGUAUGUACCUUAUGAAUAAGGAUCGGCUAACUCCGUGCCAGCAGCCGCGGUAAUACGGAGGAUCCGAGCGUUAUCCGGAUUUAUUGGGUUUAAAGGGUGCGUAGGCGGCCUUUUAAGUCAGCGGUGAAAGUCUGUGGCUCAACCAUAGAAUUGCCGUUGAAACUGGGGGGCUUGAGUAUGUUUGAGGCAGGCGGAAUGCGUGGUGUAGCGGUGAAAUGCAUAGAUAUCACGCAGAACCCCGAUUGCGAAGGCAGCCUGCCAAGCCAUUACUGACGCUGAUGCACGAAAGCGUGGGGAUCAAACAGGAUUAGAUACCCUGGUAGUCCACACAGUAAACGAUGAAUACUCGCUGUUUGCGAUAUACAGUAAGCGGCCAAGCGAAAGCGUUAAGUAUUCCACCUGGGGAGUACGCCGGCAACGGUGAAACUCAAAGGAAUUGACGGGGGCCCGCACAAGCGGAGGAACAUGUGGUUUAAUUCGAUGAUACGCGAGGAACCUUACCCGGGUUUGAACGCAUUCGGACCGAGGUGGAAACACCUUUUCUAGCAAUAGCCGUUUGCGAGGUGCUGCAUGGUUGUCGUCAGCUCGUGCCGUGAGGUGUCGGCUUAAGUGCCAUAACGAGCGCAACCCUUGCCACUAGUUACUAACAGGUAAAGCUGAGGACUCUGGUGGGACUGCCAGCGUAAGCUGCGAGGAAGGCGGGGAUGACGUCAAAUCAGCACGGCCCUUACAUCCGGGGCGACACACGUGUUACAAUGGCGUGGACAAAGGGAGGCCACCUGGCGACAGGGAGCGAAUCCCCAAACCACGUCUCAGUUCGGAUCGGAGUCUGCAACCCGACUCCGUGAAGCUGGAUUCGCUAGUAAUCGCGCAUCAGCCAUGGCGCGGUGAAUACGUUCCCGGGCCUUGUACACACCGCCCGUCAAGCCAUGGGAGCCGGGGGUACCUGAAGUCCGUAACCGAAAGGAUCGGCCUAGGGUAAAACUGGUGACUGGGGCU
rnacentral:rRNA from 1 species